CUGGUUAAGCUAACUGAAAGUAAUGCUUUCUUUACAGAGGGAACUACUACUGAGACCAAACUUGAGUUGGCUUCUGUUUCUCCUCAAAAGCCCAUGGAGGCAGCAGCCAAAGAACAACUGGAGAAUGGAGAUAUGUCCGGAGAUGGUAUUUCUGGCAAUGAAUGCAGCUCUGAAAAAACAGAAGUCAAAGUAAACCCUGUGACUUUAGAAGGUGGGGAUUUUCAGCCUCAUCAAGGGAAAAUCGAGGCUGCUCCUACUACGAAGAAUUUGGAUCCUAAUGAAGCCCCUACUGCUUACCAAAGAAAGCUGGCAGUGGAAAAGAUGGUCAUCAGAGAUCAUUUGGGGCAGGAAGUGGGAAGCAUGGAUGUUGUUGGGCAGACACAGAAUUUCAUUAGAAAAGAGGAUGAGUUGGGAGACCAUGAUAACAUAGGAAAUGACUGUGAAGAAUGGAAUACUUCAGGUAGUCUUUGCAAUGUGGUGGAUCAAAAGAAGACUGGUUGUGCUACCGAAAACCACCUGGACUGUGAUCUUGGUAGCCGUGAUGGCCCAGAUGGAGCGUCUCCAACUUCUCAUGAUCAACAAAAUCCUUCAAACCUUCUGCAGGAUAAUGCUAACUGCUUUGAUUCCCCCAGGAAGCAGGGAGAUAGUGAACAGGGGAUAGGCUUGUUGGUCAAGGAGUCAGUUCUGAUGGAAAUGGGGCAGAAAGAACUACCAGAACAAAAUGCAGACAAGGCAGAGCCUGCCAGAAACCUGGCAAUCUGUGAUGUUGCUACAGAAGAAGCAGCAGGGAACCAGGCAAAUCAUACACAGAGGGAAGAGAUGCAAGAAUGCCAUGGAUCAGACACAAUAAUGCUGGAAGCAGCAGAAGAGGAGGAAGAGACCAAACAAUCUGUUUCAAACCAUAUCAUUCUUGGUCAAGAAACAAUUACGAAUCCUUUGGAAGAAGCUAAGCUAGAUCCAGUAAUGACUUCAUCUUCAUCGGAUCAAAUUCCUUCUCUGUCAGAUACUAAAGUAUCCCUUCCAGAACAGAAUCCAUUAUCUUUUCAGGAAACUGAAAUUCUAUUCCUGGAGUCGGAACAGUCAUUAUUACCAAAUCAGAGCCCAUCACUCCUUUUGGACCAAUCUGUUUCACUGCAAGAAAAUAAGGAUUCUCUUCUAGGUCAAACCCCAUCUUCAUUGCCAGAGUCCUUGAUAGCAUCAAAUCCAUCAUCUUUGCAAGACCAUUUUUCUUCUCCAGAACAGAAAGCAUUCUCAUUACAAGAUGAUACUACUACUCAAGAACCUAAAGGCUUCUUAUCGAACCGGACCCCGUUGUCCAUAUCUGAAACUACUGAAAAAAAUCUAGACCAGAUCUCAACAGCUCUUCAAGAAUGUAGUGAUUCAGUAGUAGAUCAAAUACUGCCCAACUCUCCAGACCAGCUCCCAUCUCUGCCAGAAAAGAUUCCUUCCUCGUUACAUGAAGGACAGAGAUCACCCCACAUCUUGCCAACUGUUCUGGGCCAAGAACAGUCUGUGUUGGAGAUGAAAGGUUCCCUUCUGGAUAUAGCCCCUUCUGUUACUAAUCAACUCUCUCCUCUGUCUGAUCAAAUCAUGCCCCUUGAAGAAGCCAAUAAUCCUUCCUUGGAAGAAGUUCCAGUACCUUUGCAAGUCCAAAUGCCAACUGUUACAGAAACUCAAACUCUGCUUCUUUCUGAGGGUGAUAAAUUUUCUUCAGGACAGAUCCCAUUAACUGAGAAUGAAAAGAAGGAGACACCAACAACUGGGCCAGACCAAAAUCCCCUUGCCCCCCAGGACCAGAAACUCCCAUUUCUGGAUGGCAAGGAAGUGACAGGAUCUCUAAUUGAUCAUUCACCACUUCAAAAUCAGACCUCUUCCUGUCUUCCAGAAGGAUCACUUCAAGAGCAAGCUCAACCAACAGUAGUGGAGCACAUGUCAGUCUCUCUGCAGGACCAAACCUCUUCCCUUAAAGAAACAGAAGAGACUCUUCCAGGAAAGACAUCUCCAUUUCUUGUGGAAAAGACGCCCACCCUGUUGGCUCAAACUCCAACCCCUAACAAAGACCAGGGUCCAAUACUACAAGAGACAACUGUUCUUGAUGCUUUGUCAACUGUCAAUCAAGACUCUGCUCAACCCCUUCUGGAUGCAGCUGUAAAUUCAGAGAAUCGGGAACUGAAAGAAGAUAGAGAUGCUAAUUUGGCUUCAGAAGCCGAGACCACUGAGAUCCAAGAAAAUAUUGCUGCUGAGCAACAACCCUUGUUGAAUGAGCUGAAAACCACAGUAACCACCCAGGACAUUUCCCUAGGAGAUCAGCAGCAGUCCAAGAGUGGGAUCCAAAAGCACCAGGGUGCCUCAAUCCAGGAGGCCCCAAUUUACAUCACUACUGAUGGCAAUCCCGCCUCAUGCCACCUCCAACCUGCAGCGUCACACCAGGAGGAGGAUCAAGAGCAGGGGCAGAACAGACGUAAGCAGAAGACAUGCCAGUGCUGCUUGGUCAUGUAAGCUUGGCGUCUUUCACUCAGUUGAGGAGAACAGGUGUCAUUGAUCUGGUCCUAGCAGCAGGCUCUGAAAGUGGUAACAUGCCCUGCUAAUCAUGUAGUGUAAGCAUCUCACACAUUCACGCAUGCGCAUGCACACACAUGCAUACAGUACACACUCCAUGGAGGGAUUUGAAAGCAAGUUGCCUAGAUGGGUCCAUGGAAGGCUUGCUGCAUCACAAAAGAGAGAAUGUUCAAUGACAGGAUUGUUUCUCUUUUAUUGAUUUCUCAUAGCUCUCCUCCCAGUUUUCCUGGAGGCAGAAAAUGAGGGAUGCCCUGCUUGGGCAGAUUGUAUCGGCCCACACAAUUCUCCUGCAGCAUGCACACUUCUCCCUACACUAGCAGUGUAGACCUGCAUUUUUCUUGGCGCUGUCAAAUACUGUAUCACCAUUCCCUCCACUUAUAGUUUAUGUGCCUGCAUGUCAUCCUCGUUGUGCGUGCAUGUACAUUACACAUUCAGAAUGCACAUGUGUUUGCACAAAGGUUAAUAACAUGCAAACCGAGAUAGAGGCAUAUCCAUCUUUUCUUCCUUUGGCUUGCAAGGUAUUUUCCUAUCUUGGAAAACACCUGAGUUAUGUGCCAUUUACAAACCUACAGGCUUCCACCACCUUUUCACAGGGCUGGACACAAAGGCUACAAUAUGCACGCAGAACUCCUGCCAUCCACACUCUCCGCAUGUGCCUGAACCCCGUCUGGUGAGUUGGCAUGACUCACCAAGUCAAUCUGGACCCAUUCCAGACACUAAGCAAUACCCUCUUCCUCCUGUUCCCACCUCCUGAACCUCUGCUAAGAUGGCCAGCUGAACACAACUAAUCUUGCAGGGCAGUGACAAACAGGACACAAGAGGACCUCCUGCCAAUAGGCGGUGCAUUGCAGGGACUUUGAACAAGGCACUGUUGGAACCUUCUCUCCUAAAUGUGGUCUCCAGUUAAGAUCUCGUGUGUGGUAGACUCAAUGUUCUGCCU
rnacentral:lncRNA from 1 species